UAAAAUAAAGCUUGUGCCCAUCAGUCACUGUUAUUUCACGCUUGCAUAUUUCAAAACAGGUUGUUUACAGCACGCAUACAUAGAACUCGCAACGCUUUACUGACGUUGGAUCUUUACGGCAGCUGUAUAUAAACAUCAGCACAACUCUCGUAGUAGGGAUAGACAUUCUACCGACUCAGAAAAUAUAACAUGAGAAUGAACUCUUCGUUAAAAACCGUUGUGGCCGUGCUAAUGGUUUCACUGAUGGUGGUUGACCAUGGCUUCGCCAGUGUGAAGUGUAGAGCGGGCUGUAUGGAGACGUACCACGCAUGUAUAUUGCCGUGCCAGGACUCGCCUAUGCACCUGCCACAGACGUGUAAUGGAAAACCCUGCCAUGACGACAUGCAGACGUGCUUGCGUACAAAGUGUAAUGCUCAAGUGUGAUAGACUAUGUAACCAACAGCGUUUUGAGGUGUAUUGCAGUGAUGAAGGAAAUAAAUAUAAUCAAAUGCUG